AACGAACGCUGGCGGCAGGCCUAACACAUGCAAGUCGAGCGCCCUGCAAGGGGAGCGGCGGACGGGUGAGUAACGCGUGGGAAUUUUUCCUGGAGUACGGAACAACCGAGGGAAACUUCGGCUAAUACCGUAUGAUGCCGAGAGGCCAAAGAUUUAUCGCUCUGGGGUGAGCCCGCGUCAGAUUAGGUAGUUGGUGGGGUAAAGGCCUACCAAGCCUGCGAUCUGUAGCUGGUCGAGAGGACGAUCAGCCACACUGGGACUGAGACACGGCCCAGACUCCUACGGGAGGCAGCAGUGGGGAAUCUUGCGCAAUGGGCGAAAGCCUGACGCAGCCAUGCCGCGUGAGUGAAGAAGGUCUUAGGAUUGUAAAGCUCUUUCGCCCGUGACGAUGAUGACGGUAACGGGAGAAGAAGCCCCGGCUAACUUCGUGCCAGCCGCCGCAGUAAU
rnacentral:rRNA from 1 species